GCUUGUUCACUUCUCAGAGACAUGACAAAACAUGGGUGUGUACCAAAUUCAGUGAUUUACCAGAUUCUUAUUCAUGCUCUUUCAAAGUCUAAUCGAGUAAAUGAUGCGUUAAAACUUUUGGAGGAGAUGUUUCUUAUGGGUUGCAUGCCCGACGUCAAUACUUUCAAUGACAUUAUCCAUGGGCUUUGCCGAGCUGAUAGGAUUCAUGAGGCUGCAAAACUGGUUGAUCGGAUGCUUCUUCGAGGUUUCACCCCCGAUGCUAUAACUUAUGGCAUUCUGAUGCAUGCUUUAUGUCGAACAGGGCGAGUUGAUGAAGCAAAGGUUCUUCUCAACAAAGCACCUGAACAGAAUAAUGUCCUCU
rnacentral:misc_RNA from 1 species